GUCAAAGGUCAUCUGAUAGGGAAUAAGCAUCUAAAGCUUGCUAAAGUGUCAUUAUUAAAGCAGAAGAAACCAUGAGUGCUGUUGAGUCUCAUAUCAGUGUGUGUGAGUGUCGUGGAGUUUGUGUUCAUCUGAGUGUGACGGAGGUUUUUGUACGACGCUUUCACUAGAAUGAAGCACUGUGGUACACUUUUGGUGGAGGAACUAAACUGACCAUCACUGGUCCCGCAGUGAAGCCCUCCGUGUCUCUGCUGCCUUCCUCUUCUCUGCAGAUCUCUGGAGACUCAGCCGCACUGCUCUGCCUGCUCAGCUCUUACUCUCCACAGGGGGCGCAGGUGAGCUGGACGCUGGACGGGUCAGAGGUCACCGAGGGGGUUCAGACCAGCGCAGAGAGCGAGCGGGACGGACGCUACAGCCGCAGCAGCGUCCUGAGCCUCAGCAAAGCACGCUGGGAAGACGGCGAGCGCUUCGUCUGCAGAGUAACACAUGACGGAGCUGCUCAGGAGGCCUCGUUCCUCAAGAGCUCCGAGUGCUGAUGUUUCUCCAGUGAAGAGCAGCAGGAUUCACAGCAGUCUCCUGAUUUACAGCUCAAUACUCAAGCAGUCUUUCAAUGUGCUGCCAUUGCUGUUCAUUCAAUAAAGCUUCUGAACGCCUUACAUUUGUGUUCGACUGCAUCAUUGAUCAGUGUGUCCUUCCUUCACUAAAGUUUCAG